UUAAGACUAUCUCAUGAAUUUUUUGUAUUUGAUUUAGACUAGAGUUUUUUAUUUUUUAUUUCCAGUUAACAUUUCGUGCGAAACGCGCGAUUACAGCACCACUGUACCGUGAAAUACGCAAUAUACUUCCUAUGAUUCUCGAACGUAAUCGAUAUUUCUCACGAUCGAUUUUUGAACGGGAAGCAUGGCGGACCGAAGCACACCUCGUCUGCAAAGAAGAAAAUAUAUUAUCCACACAGAAGAAUCAUCCAGAAAGAAGUAUCAUCUAAAAGUUCUCAGGUUAUUCCUCAAUUCCAGAAAUAAGAUAGAACACACAUAAAUGCCACGAUUAUUAAUGGACAAUCUGAUAUUCUUUGACGGAAAUUUGAUCUUCUACCACCUCCAUUUCCCCUAAUCUUCGAAGAAUCAUAUGAUGCUUCAAAAGAAAAAAAUAAAUUUUUGACGGCGUUCACUAUGGAAUUCAAAGUGGUAUUUACUUGAUGAGGGUCUUCACGAUAACUUUCCAUACUCCAGUGCAGCAUCGAUGACAACAUUCUUCGCACUGAGUGAGUCGCAUGCAUUUAUGUUCCUCCGGUCACUCAAUCAUGUCGUAGGACGAAAGGUCCGAAUCGG